UACGAAGGGGGGCUAGCGUUGUUCGGAAUCACUGGGCGUAAAGCGCACGUAGGCGGAUCUUUAAGUCAGGGGUGAAAUCCCGGAGCUCAACUCCGGAACUGCCUUUGAUACUGAGGAUCUUCGAGUUCGGGAGAGGUGAGUGGAACUGCGAGUGUAGAGGUGAAAUUCGUAGAUAUUCGCAAGAACACCAGUGGCGAAGGCGGCUCACUGGCCCGAUACUGACGCUGAGGUGCGAAAGCGUGGGGAGCAAACAGG
rnacentral:rRNA from 1 species